rnacentral:rRNA from 1 species
CAGCCGCCGCGGUAAUACAGAGGAUGCAAGCGUUAUCCGGAAUGGUUGGGCGUAAAGCGUGCGCAGGCGGUUCGUUAAGACAGAUGUGAAGUCCCCGGGCUUAACCUGGGAACUGCAUUUGUGACUGGCGAGCUAGAGUAUGGCAGAGGGGGGUAGAAUUCCACGUGUAGCAGUGAAAUGCGUAGAGAUGUGGAGGAAUACCGAUGGCGAAGGCAGCCCCCUGGGCCAAUACUGACGCUCAUGCACGAAAGCGUGGGGAGCAAACAGGAUUAGAUACCCCCGUAGUCCCUGUCUCUUAUAC